rnacentral:pre_miRNA from 1 species
UUCCUCAAUCUGUCUCAGUUUCCUCUGCUGUUCUUUCUUCCUCAAACUGAGACAGAUUGAUGAAGAAAGGACAGCAGAGGAAACUGAGACAGAUUGUGGA